UCCUAAGAGAUCAGACGACGGUUGAUGGGACACUUUGAAACUUGGAGCGUCAAGGUCCCGAUCCAUCGAUCACUUUAAUACGACAAAAAUGUUCAAACGUACCUAAGUGGUGGAAAUGCAGUAGCAAAUUGAUGCUCUUUAAGCAAACAAAUACGAUCUUGUGUACUGCUUUUGAUCGCCAUAAGAUACAAUUGUCUUUGUUCUGUCGACCACGUGAACUCUCUCAAUAACGAUUGUCAUCAACAUUUAAGAAUUUAAUAUAACGUAAACAUUAAUCAAAAGACCCGUUGGGCGUCGUGUUUUACAUAACGGCUGGCUCUAAAAGUCGGAAGUGGAACGCGCACUAGCACGAAAAGCACUGAGAGGAAGAGUGGACCUGGCGUUAAGCAAUGAAAGGGUUUGAGAGGGACGGUCGGUCGUUUAGAGAUACUGAUGCCCUCGGACAGGCCGCUAAAAGCAGAGCUCGCACCAUCUCGUUGACUGCACUCGGUCUACGUCUAAAACAGAAAAAUACACCGGAUGGAGAAAAAACAAGGCGGGCAAUACUAUUCUUUUUCUCUUUAUACGAAAACGAGAACGGUAGGGUAAAGUAACAGAGAGAAAGAAAGAGACAGAUAUAGUAAAGAAGAAAGGAGAUAUAGAUAAAGAGAGAAAAAGAGAGAAAAAGGAAAAGACAUAGAGAUAAGAGAAAAAGAGAAAAACUAAAGAAAGAUAGAUAGAUAGAUAGAUAGAAAGAGAGAGAGAGAGAGAGAGAGAGAGAGAGAGAGAGAGAAAGAAGUGAAGAGAAAGACGAAGAAGGAGAAAACUCAGAACGUGGAAUACAAAUGGACAAUAAACCGUCCUCGCCCAGCGUCUACCGACGGUGUAUCACCGGUGACACCGGUAGUUUUAGUUUAUGCCGCAUGUAUAAGCGGCAUUUCCCGUCAGGAGUCCAGGGUCUAACUCGAUUCUCGUUUCAAGGAUUCUCUCGGCUACCUCUACUCACUCUCUUUCUGUCCCUUUUCAUACUCUUCACCGAGUUUCCAUAGGAGGAACAUUCUUCCUUACUCUUUUCCUUCCCCUUCUGCCUCAUCUUUCCUCUUAUUUGCUCUCUUUUCCAUUAUAUUACUCUUCUUUCUUUUUGUUUUUCAUCUUUGCAAGCUU